AGGAUCCAUUUGCAGAGAUGGGCCCGGAUUUCUCUGAGGCAAGGAGGACUCUGUUGAAUACCAGAGAGAGGCCCCCAGGUGACAGAAGGAUGUUGGCGAGACCUCUUCAUCUGCCUUUCCAUGGAGGUGGAGCAGAAGCAGUGGCUGUGGAACCAGAUCAGGGUCCAGUGUGCUUUGAAGAUGUAGCUCUCCGUUUCAC